UACGGAGGGUGCAAGCGUUGUCCGGAUUUAUUGGGUUUAAAGGGUGCGUAGGUGGCUUGUUAAGUCCGGGGUGAAAGCCCACAGCUCAACUGUGGAACUGCCGUUGAUACUGGCGGGCUUGAGUUCGGUCGAGGCGGGCGGAACUGGUGGUGUAGCGGUGAAAUGCAUAGAUAGCAUCCAGAACCCCGAUUGCGUAGGCAGCUGACUAGGCUGGUACUGACACUGAGGCACGAAAGCGUGGGGAGCGAACAGG
rnacentral:rRNA from 1 species